UGGGUUGUGGCUCAGUGGUAGGGCGCUUGCCUAUCACAUGCAAGGCCCUGGGUUCGAUUCUCAGCACCACAU
rfam:Ictidomys tridecemlineatus contig051312, whole genome shotgun sequence.